rnacentral:rRNA from 1 species
UUGGCAUUUCAUAAGCGGAGGAAAAGAAACCAACCGGGAUUGCCUUAGUAACGGCGAGUGAAGCGGCAAAAGCUCAAAUUUGAAAUCUGGUACCUUUGGUGCCCGAGUUGUAAUUUGGAGAGGGCAACUUUGGGACCGUUCCUUGUCUAUGUUCCUUGGAACAGGACGUCAUAGAGGGUGAGAAUCCCGUGUGGCGAGGAGUGCGGUUCUAUGUAAAGUGCCUUCGAAGAGUCGAGUUGUUUGGGAAUGCAGCUCUAAGUGGGUGGUAAAUUCCAUCUAAAGCUAAAUAUUGGCGAGAGACCGAUAGCGAACAAGUACAGUGAUGGAAAGAUGAAAAGAACUUUGAAAAGAGAGUGAAAAAGUACGUGAAAUUGUUGAAAGGGAAGGGCAUUUGAUCAGACAUGGUGUUUUGCGCCCUCUGCUCCUUGUGGGUGGGGGAAUCUCGCAGUUCACUGGGCCAGCAUCAGUUUUGGUGGCAGGAUAAAUCCGUAGGAAUGUAACUUGCUUCGGGAAGUAUUAUAGCCUAUGGGAAUACUGCCAGCUGGGACUGAGGACUGCGACGUAAGUCAAGGAUGCUGGCAUAAUGGUUAUAUGCCGCCCGUCUUGAACCCGGGACCA